AAUACAAUACUUUGCAUAUAAUAUACAGCUAAAACCGGAUAACUUUAGGUACAGAUCUCUUCAGUUCUGCUGCAAACUAAUUUUCAAAUCUCGCCUUUAAAAGAAAACAGAAGGAAAGGAGACAUGUUGGACUUUAAUAAGAGAGUUGAUCUUAGGAAUUUACAGGCAGAAAUGUUUUAUUAAAUAUAACAACUCUUCUGAGGAAACACUGACCUUUACAUUUAUUUGGUGCAGAAAUCAGAUCAGGCAACUAAUUUCAUGGUAAAAGAGUCAUGUCAAGAAUAUAUCUGUUGUAUGUUGUCUUACUUCAAAAUAAACUAUGCACGUUGUAGAUACCAAUCAUAUACAGAAAUGUUCAGUAAUGAUCCAAGUGGUGGUGUUUUUUUCAAGAGAAUUCAUAAGUCUUUUCCAGCCGUAAUGAUUCUAUGGUAGUGUCUUGUGUGUUUGCCUGAGUGCGUGGGAAGCUAUUUUUUAUCUGCCCUGGAUUGUGGUUAUUUUUGUCAAUGAAAUCUUGACUCAAGUGAAGGAAAAAGGGUCCUGUGACAUUCAGUGUAUGGUUAGACACUCUCCAACACAGAUCAGUCAGUGGGGUAAGUUUCUAUUUUGGUACAGAUGUUUGAUGUCUUGUCUUUUUCCCUGUUCUGAAUAAUUUUGUGAAAAUAAUAAACCUAGGCUAGGAAUAGUCUUUUUGUGGUUUUGUAUGUAUUCUUUUAUGUGUGACUUUUGAUACUGUUUUUUUGUUCUUGCACACAGCCUAAACCAAAUACUAAUAUUUCAACAGGUACAGAAUGACAGUCAAACACUGCACACGGGUAUGCCUGUGAAGAGGCACUGCCAAAGUUAAUCGUGUCUAGUGCAGAAGCUGGGAGUUCUGGCUGAUCAAAGCACGUAGGUGUGGAGGUGCUUGCAUGGAGGGAAGAUAAAGGGACAACUCAAUGCAAACAGUUUUCACUUAAGCAGAGCAAAAUGAUACAUUUCAAAUGGCCUUUACCUCAGCUGACUGAUAAACGUUUUUAAAAUAAAACUUGUGGUGGUCUUAUUUAAUACUGAAAUUUGGGUGAAUUUGAAGCGCUAGUCCAAUAAGGAAAAGUUAAGUCAGCAAUUCUUCAGAAAACAUUUAAUUAGCUAAUGAAGGACAGCAUGUUUUGUAUGGUGGUAGCAGUACAAGAUGAUCUAGAAUGCUUUUUUCGUGUACUGUUAACACAUACUAGGUAAAAAUAAAAGUGUAAUUCUGAUCUAAAACAUCACUGACUGCACUGAGACUUUUUAAACUUGUAUCUUGAACCUAAGAGUCAGACUGUAUAUUGCAGAGCUGUUAUGGUGUGCUUGCACAUCACUUGCAAGUCAUAACUAAAUCAGUUUGUCUCCAGUCUCAACAACUCAUGCUAGACAAAAAUAAGCCUCAGUUGCAUCACAAACUUCUUAAUGCUGAAGAACUAACACAGCAUUUGACAUCACUCUGUCUUAGCAGUUAACAGUUACUAGAAAAUUCAUUCCAGUUUUGUCUGUAGAGUUCUUACUGCUACUGAAAAUGAGGAAAGGAUCAAGCCCGUUGGUCAGAGUGCAUACUAAAUUUAUAAACUCUAGACCCUUUGUAGAAAUUAGGAUUUGGUAUGGAAAGUAACCUAGUACGUGCUCAAAUCUGAAAUGCAAGUUUUGAGUACUUUCCAAAAUUAAAAUUCGUGAAACCAGUGACUUUAAAAAAAGUAGGUCCUUUGUUUAGCUUUUAUUUACCAGUGUGUCCAUAUUGCCCUUUGUUAAUAUUAAUCUAUUAAAUAUAUAUAUAUGUUGGAGUAAAUAAUUGCACGAGAGGGGCUUUUUUGCUGUAUUUGAGUUCCCAGAGGUCCCAAACACCAGAGGAAAGUCAUGGAGGAGAUGAUCAAGGGUCAACAGCUACAGGGAAAAGCCUUGAGCUAUUCUCAUCUGAAGAUUCAGAUUAGACCUCACCCUACCUCCACCCAAAACCCCAUAAAAUUAGGGCAUCUGGUGUGGUGUGGCUGUUGAACAGUACUGGAAUAACUCCUCUUAACAUUCCUUAUGUGUGGUAUUUCCACUUCCAGGUUCUGCAGAUACACAGUCUGAAAGACUUUGACCAGAGAAGUGUAGGAAUUACGUGAAGAUUGAGAACUCAUUCAACUGGAUGGUGGCGCAUAGAUUCUGCGGUGUGUUUGCAGUCUGCACAUAUUUCUAGAGCUGCCCACAAAAGUAAAGAACCAGUGUGAGAGUUUGAAGAAAGAAUCCGCUCAGAGGACUGAGUCUCAAGCAAAAUCUCCAGGUUGCAGACUCAGAAAGAAACUUCCUUUGGGGAAGGAUCUGCUUCCAGGAUUUGCUCGUCUCUUUUUCCUUGGGCAAACAGAGUUCUUGAAGCAAACAACAGGGUUGCAGGACACCUUCUAACCUUUAUACUGCAUCACAAGCCUUCAGCAGAAGAUCUUGACAGCCAUUUAUGUUGCUGGAAGAUGACUGGGUUUGGAUCUUGGCCUUCCUUAAGCAGGAUCUCCUGACAAAAAUGGGAAAUGACUCCUUUUUCCAUCACACAGAGCCACCCUAGAAAUGGAGGCCUAGGCAGAAAGUUACUUCUAAUGCAUUGUUCUUUAGGAAACGUUCCUUUUGUUACAGUGUCAUAUAGAUGACUUUUAUAAAACCUAAACCUGGCAUCUUCCUAUCUGAAGAUAAGUCAGUAAAUCCAAGAUUAAGAGUUUACAGGUCUAAUAAUGUGAUCGGAUCUUGCUGUCCCUUCCAUAGGAGAUGCCACGUGAAUCUGUGAAACAGGGUUCUGCUGUGGUUAAGACUGUUAUAUUUGUAAAUAUACUUUUUCUACUUACAUUAAAAUGAUUAGAAAUAAUAUUAAUAAAGCUUCUUUUGAAAAUGCUGUUUAAUUAGGCUUCUACCUCUCCAGGUCUACUUAAAAAUAAAUUUAAGCCAAAAUGUCACAAUGGGCAAAAUGGGAAGUAGUGCAUCUUUUGAGGUUUCCUGUGGUUUUAUGUUGCAAAAAGGUAUGUUGGAAGUGUUGAGAGCUAUGAAAGUGGAAAAAACUUAACUUUUGCUUUAAGAGUGAGAAGUUAUUUGUUAGAAAGCAGAAAGCUUUCAGUUGUUUCUCCCUAAGGUAUUCUGUAGCUGAACUUAAUUAAAUAUCUUGGGAGAUCUCAAAUAAAAACCUUAUGUUUGGCAGUAGUGAACAACACAUGCACAUGCCCAUGUACUUUUGUUGUUCUCACUAUAGGAAAUUAGUUUUGAAGAAUAGGACUGACUUUUAAUGUUUAGAUUAGGGAAGGGGAAAGUUUUAUUCUUGAGUUGAGUGUGAGAAUGGGUGGCAGGAGUGUGAACUAGACCCUCUGGCAGUAGGUAAAGAGCACUUUUAUUUUUCUGUUUUCUGCUUCUGGCAAUUGGAGUAAAGUAGUCAGAUGCUUGUGCUUGAAUCCAAUUAAUUUCUUAAAUCAGUUACCACAAAACAUUGCUUUCUAACUAAUGCCUAGAUCUUUUGUUAUAUUCACUAGCUUAUUUAAAUUGUUGAAUAGUCUUAAUAUAGCCCUGAGGCUACUGCCUCAUGGCAGUUGUGACUUCUUACUAUGCUGGAAUGCAUUGCAGUCCUAGUACAUUCUAAAAAUAAUUGUUCAGAUGGUGCUGUUUAAGUACAUACUUAUGUAGUGAGCCAUUUUCACUGAACUUUCUGAAAUUUAGCUUUCUGUUGGAUGGCUUUUUAAUAUUUUUUUUUUAUUGUGAAUAUCAAACUUCUUUUGUCUUGCUGCUUCUGUGGUUAUCAAGUAAAGUGCUGAAUUUAUAACAUGGUAUUUUUGGAAACUGAUAGUCUGAUGCAUGUGUUUAACUAUGCAACCACAGUAACACUUGUGAACUUUGAAGUUUAAAAAGAAAUCAGUUUAAUGUAUCAAAUUCAAUUCUAUUUUCUUAUAAUAUGUGGAAAUGUGUAUGUGAUGAAAUUAAAAUUGAGUAGUUGUUACAGGUACAGACAUGAAUUGUAUGCUGAACAGGAGUAAUCUAGAAGUCAGAAGCUGAACAUCUGUGAGUCUCAGAAAUGAAUACUAACAUCUGUGGCUAGAGAUCUGUGCCAACAGUGCUUUUAGUUGAAAAUACCUGUUUUUCAAACUGCUAGUCCAAUUAAGGUCUGAUACCUUUUAUGCUUAAUAGAUGUACUUACCUCAGCCACAGUUUUUGGUCAUUUUGUUCUGUAGCAGAAGAUAAAUUGAGGACCAUCAAAUACUUACGAAUGCUGAAUACCUACAGUAAAGUAAAACAGGGGCACUGAGAACUGUUUCUCACGUUACUGUCUCAGUUGCUAAAAUGACUUUACUCUUUCCCAUCAAAAUUAGGGGGGAAAAAACCCAACAAACACGCCAAAACAAAUGCAAAAACCAAACAUAAAGGCC